UCGGAAACGGGGAAGAGGGAAUGAAGAGUCGUCGGAUUCAUCGAUUGAUAGGAGAAGAGGUUUUUUAAACUGGACUGGAUAAUGGGUCAUUAUUUGUUUUAAGAGACAAACGUGAAGCCCAGUUACUCUCUUCAAUGGACCAAACUAUGUGACGUGGCAAAAUGGAAAGUUCCUAUUGGACGAUUUUUUUAAAUGGCGUGACAUGCUUCUCCUUUGAGCUUAUUCUACUUUUUAGUAUUGUAAGAUUACCAUAAAAACUCCCAGAUUCAGUAUGGCCCAUUGUGUAAGUGUUCUUAGGGUGAUUAAUCUGGCCCCGUUAGCCCACAUGGUACAGUUACACCAAACAAAAGAUGAUACUUUUUCUGUGGCAACAAGCCUCACCAAAAGAGAUUUUCUUUGGUUCACCCAUACGAGGAAUCUACGGCUUCACCACUAAAAUAAAAGCCAACAAAUUUUUUUAUGUCAUAUUAUGUUUACGAAAAAUAAAAUGAA
rnacentral:lncRNA from 1 species